rnacentral:RNase_MRP_RNA from 18 species
UCCUCGCUCAAAGGAUCGCAUUCAAAGCUUACACACAGAGAAUUUUCCAGUUCUCUCCUCUUCUACCAAGAAGAGUCUUGCUUUGGGAGAAAGUCCCCGGACACCCUGUCUUUCGUCUCUGGCGAUAGACAGGCAAUGCGGAAACGCGCCGCCAUAAAAGCAAUUUGAUAGCGGCUGACUGCCCUAUUCCCUACCGGUGCUGAGUGCGUACUCGACGCACACUGUGUGGAAACAAUGGGGUAUACCUCUGUGCCGGAGAGGGGUUUAUUGGGUUGCCUUUCGUCGUGUUUGGAUAGUCAUGCGAUUGCUCAGCUACUGAGUUAGCUGGGUAACUCAAUGGGGCUCAUUCUUGAGGCGAGG